GCGAAAGUCCCGGAGUUGGCGAGUUGGGCGCUAACUGGUGCGGGCUGGGCCCCGCUGGGUGGGGUGCAUGUCCGCGCGCCCGGGUACCCUGCCGCCCCGCCCGGCAACCUCUUCCCGGGACUGCAGCCGAACGUUUGCUGCCUCCCUGGGGAUAUGCAAAUAGUGCUGGGGCCCCGCCGGGCGUUCUGCGCCUGCAGCCCCCGGGGCUGUCACUUCCAGACCACCUAGGCUCGGCCCUCAGGACCUGCGGACCUACUUUGACCCCGGCGACUCGGUGUUCCCGGCCAUGAAACGGGGCCACAGCCGUGCUCCACGCUCACCGUUCCGCGGGCGGGCCCUGGUUUUCUUCCUCUAGGAGGCCCCUGGCGUUAGGUGUGAACGCCCUCUGCAAACUGUGGGGAGCUGUGCCCGCCCGCCGCCCGUCUGUAGAUCCUGCAAACCGGCGGGUUGACACGAGAGAGGUCUGCUUGACUGCAAGCAAAACCCAGAAUGCUACAAGUGUUGGACUUCUGUGUCUCCUGAAAAUUUAAAGCCUUCUUGCUUCUUCCAAGCUCAAAUGAUACAUUCUCAGAGAAGCCUGACGGACCUCCCUAAACAGAGUGGCACCUUCCAUUAAACUUCAGUGGGUCCAGAGAAGUCGCAUCCAGGUCUAACUGCAAGGAAUGAAUUCAUUAAGCAGGGCUUGGUGGUCUUUGCUGCCAACGAGGGGUCUACACUCUUGACAAGAAGGCUGAACUUGUUUAACAACUUGCUGGUGAGUGCUGGAGCCACAGAUGAUUGAUUCAUCCCUGUUUAAAAAGGUGGGGCUGGGCUGGGCGCAGUGGCUCACGCCUGUAAUCCCAGCUACUUGGGAGGCUGAGUCAGGAGAAUCGCUUGAACCUGGGAGGUGCAGGUUGUGGUGAACUGAGAUCGCGCCACAGCACUCCAACCUGGGCGACAGAGCGAGACUCUGUCGCAAUAAACAAACAAACAAACAAAUAAAAUAAAAAGGUGAAGCUUGAAGAGGGAUGUCUCUAUCUCUUAUGACUGGGUUCACCUCUUCACAGAUGCACUCUGGUCUCUUCCCCCACCCCCACCCAUCUCUCCAGCAGGAUUGAUAAACUCCUCCCAAAAGUUCUCAAGGAGCCCCAUUAUGUGCAGUAGUGAACACUUGUUCAUUUUAU